AUGCAAUUCAUUAAAGCCUCGUGCGCUGAAUUUUCAGGCUCGAAGUCCCAAACCUCGCCGCAUCCGUACCGUACCUGGUCCGUGGCGCGGUCGGAGUCGCUGGCCAUCGAAGCCGCCGAGUCACCGUCGUCGUCGUCGUCUCCGCCGCCCUCGCCGUCCCCGUACUCGGGCGCCUCGGAGCCGGCGUCCGCGUCGGAGAGCGAGGCGCCGAGAUCGGCGUCGCCCAUCCCGUCGAGCGUCUGCCGGAGCUCCUGCAGGAGCGCCUCCAGCCUCUGGCGCCGCAGCCGGACCUUCGUCGGCGGCCGCCGCGGGGGCGGGGGCGGCGCCGCCGGCGAGGAGGUGGAGGGCUGCUCCAUCGGGGGAAACCCUAUCGCCGGAGGAGGAGGAGGCGACGCCGGACUGGGCUUUGCGUGGCGUCUUCUGCUACUAAUUGCUUUGCUUUUGCUACAUGGACAGACGAGACGUGGUGUUUUCCGUGCGAUGAUUGGAUUAUUAACCGGAAAGGUGUUUUUGCUGCUUCGGUUUCGUCUCCGACGGUGCUUCCUCCCUGCACACGGUGUUCACUACUAA
rnacentral:rRNA from 1 species